GGACAGGGGAGACCCAGAUAUGUUCACAGGCAGCUGGGAAUGAACCGAUAGGAAAGGCUCACUGAGUAAGAGGCGAGGAAAGAUGUAUUCAGAAAUGAAGACCUACAUAAGAUAACUUGUAUUGGAUUCAACUAGC